rnacentral:misc_RNA from 1 species
GAGUGAUCGGUUGUCGAUGAUGCAUUUGGUUUUGAUUUUAUUCUCUAUUUGGUUGAUGGGAAAGAGAAGGAGAAGCUGUAAAUUGGUUAGAAUUUGAAGUUGGAAGUUAGUUGACAGAUGAGAGAAAAGGAAACGAAAGAGGAAUAAUAAGUUAAUUAAUGUUUGGAUACUUUUGAAAUUGAUUUGAUUGCAGGGAAACUGAAGUGAAUUUCUGUGGUUUGUUAGGGAUUCAAAAUUGGAAAUUUAGAAUGUUAACGUAAUGAUAAAGAAAAGGAAAGAAAAUACAGAAAAGGGGAAAAAAAAAAGUCAAUUAGACUCUUUUGAAUCUAUAGAUGUUUGUAGAUCAUUUUUGUUGGGUGUGAACUAGCUUUUUUACUAUCUUUGGG